rnacentral:lncRNA from 1 species
CCAUCAUAUAGGGAGAAGAACAGCCACCUAAGGUGAUCAAGUACCUUAUAGUGGAUGGCGUUACCAUAUCGUACAAACUGAGCGGACCCCAGAGACUAGGGCCAGCCAAAGAUGACAUCUUAUUCUUCCUUUGGGAAGAAUGCCAAAUAUCAACACACCGUUUUUCAGCUGCUUCAUGGUACUUUAACUCAGACUUUCAGCUGGCCUGGUUGAUCAGAAUGUGAUAGAGAAGCAUCAUUUUUAACAGCAAAAAAAGAGAAAACAUGUUCAAUGUCUGUCAUUGGGUUCUAGUUAAUUUAAUUAUGGUACAUCCAGACAAUGCUAUGCA